rnacentral:tRNA from 1 species
GCGGGUGUAGCUCAAUGGCAGAGUUUCUGCUUCCCAAGCAGACGGCGCGGGUUCGAUUCCCGUCACCCGCU